GACGAACGCUGGCGGCGUGCCUAAUACAUGCAAGUAGAACGCUGAAGAGAGGAGCUUGCUCUUCUUGGAUGAGUUGCGAACGGGUGAGUAACGCGUAGGUAACCUGCCUGGUAGCGGGGGAUAACUAUUGGAAACGAUAGCUAAUACCGCAUGAAAUUGCUUAUCGCAUGAUAAUUAAUUGAAAGAUGCAAUUGCAUCACUACCAGAUGGACCUGCGUUGUAUUAGCUAGUUGGUGAGGUAACGGCUCACCAAGGCGACGAUACAUAGCCGACCUGAGAGGGUGAUCGGCCACACUGGGACUGAGACACGGCCCAGACUCCUACGGGAGGCAGCAGUAGGGAAUCUUCGGCAAUGGGGGGAACCCUGACCGAGCAACGCCGCGUGAGUGAAGAAGGUUUUCGGAUCGUAAAGCUCUGUUGUAAGAGAAGAACGGGUGUGAGAGUGGAAAGUUCACACUGUGACGGUAUCUUACCAGAAAGGGACGGCUAACUACGUGCCAGCAGCCGCGGUAAUACGUAGGUCCCGAGCGUUGUCCGGAUUUAUUGGGCGUAAAGCGAGCGCAGGCGGUUAGAUAAGUCUGAAGUUAAGGCUGUGGCUUAACCAUAGUAUGCUUUGGAAACUGUUUAACUUGAGUGCAGAAGGGGAGAGUGGAAUUCCAUGUGUAGCGGUGAAAUGCGUAGAUAUAUGGAGGAACACCGGUGGCGAAAGCGGCUCUCUGGUCUGUAACUGACGCUGAGGCUCGAAAGCGUGGGGAGCAAACAGGAUUAGAUACCCUGGUAGUCCACGCCGUAAACGAUGAGUGCUAGGUGUUAGGCCCUUUCCGGGGCUUAGUGCCGCAGCUAACGCAUUAAGCACUCCGCCUGGGGAGCACGACCGCAAGGUUGAAACUCAAAGGAAUUGACGGGGGCCCGCACAAGCGGUGGAGCAUGCGGUUUAAUUCGAAGCAACGCGAAGAACCUUACCAGGUCUUGACAUCCCUCUGACCGCUCUAGAGAUAGAGUUUUCCUUCGGGACAGAGGUGACAGGUGGUGCAUGGUUGUCGUCAGCUCGUGUCGUGAGAUGUUGGGUUAAGUCCCGCAACGAGCGCAACCCCUAUUGUUAGUUGCCAUCAUUCAGUUGGGCACUCUAGCGAGACUGCCGGUAAUAAACCGGAGGAAGGUGGGGAUGACGUCAAAUCAUCAUGCCCCUUAUGACCUGGGCUACACACGUGCUACAAUGGCUGGUACAACGAGUCGCAAGCCGGUGACGGCAAGCUAAUCUCUGAAAGCCAGUCUCAGUUCGGAUUGUAGGCUGCAACUCGCCUACAUGAAGUCGGAAUCGCUAGUAAUCGCGGAUCAGCACGCCGCGGUGAAUACGUUCCCGGGCCU
rnacentral:rRNA from 1 species